rnacentral:lncRNA from 1 species
UGGCCCAUGAUCUUGUAAUUAGUCCACUUGACAUAGUGAUAUUCCAUCUAUUUAGCCUAUGUACAUUGAAUUGGAUUCAUUCUAUGCUCAACUCCAUGUGGACAGGCUUCCUCAUGAGUUUAGGCUUGUAUUGUGUCUUGAUCUCUUCUCAAGUGUCCACGAUCUCCCAUAUGGUUGUGAACUCCCAUGUAGCCAUGAGCUUGAAUUGUGUCUUAGUCGUGAGUUGUCAUGUGGCAUUUUAUGAUUUGUGGCACCUUGAUCUCCAUCACACUAGGUAUCUACAAAUUCAUGGGGAAUGGUCUCACUAUGCAUGUUUAGAUAGAUCCUUGGAUCCCCAUCAUGCCUAGACAUACUCCUCUUGUAACUUGAAACCCUUUGUAUAUAAUGGUAAGCUCCUUUGUUAAAUCUUUUACUUGCACUUAGAACCUUUACUCAUUAUAACAACAAUUCUCCAAUCCGAUAGUCUGUCAUAUUACUCAAAUUCUCUUACCUACAGAUCCUCAUGUUCAAGACUCUUGGCAAUAGAAGGACACUGCCACCAAACAAUGUUAAGUGAAAACAAACUAUACUCUCUACAUUUCCCAUUAUUUUCCUAAAUGACAAGAAUCAACUUUUAGGGCCUCUAGAUACUUGAAACUCAUAUUAAAGUCCUAGAUCUUACCAAGUCAAAAAAUCAUUUCGUGGAGGAUCCUCUAUAAUUGUAUUCCAGGUAUGUAUUAUUUUAAUGUCGAUUUCUAUAUAUCUAAGUGUAGGUUUUAUAGUGCACAAGUAUGUUAAAACAUAUGCUUAUCUCAUGUCCCUUAGCUAGACUACUAUAAUGUGUUUCCCCUUAGGAUAUUAAACUCAAUCAACUCUCAUAUCUCUCAGUCAAUGCAUGGAUUUUUUUCCUUCUAUAUAAAUAGAGCAAAACAACAUAUCCUAUGGCCAAAAUCUAUAAACAAGUAUGUUUUUACGCCUUUAUCAUAGUUGACUUUUUAUAUC